rnacentral:rRNA from 1 species
CCUACGGGUGGCUGCAGUGGGGAAUAUUGGGCAAUGGGCGCAAGCCUGACCCAGCAACGCCGCGUGAAGGAAGAAGGCUUUCGGGUUGUAAACUUCUUUUCUCAGGGACGAAGCAAGUGACGGUAGCGGAGGAAUAAGCCACGGCUAACUCCGGGCCAGCAGCCGCGGGAAUACGUAGGUGGCAAGCGGUAGCCGGAUUUACUGGGUGUAAAGGGCGUGUAGGGGGGGACGGAAGUCAGAUGUGAAAACCCUGGGCUCAACCUGUGGCCUGCAUUUGAAACUGUGUUUCUUGAGUACUGGAGAGGCAGACGGAAUUCCUAGUGUAGCGGUGAAAUGCGUAGAUAUUAGGAGGAACACCAGUGGCGACGGCGGUCUGCUGGACAGCACCUGACGCUGAGGCGCGAACGCGUGGGGAGCAAACAGGAUUAGAUACCCGAGUAGUC